rnacentral:rRNA from 1 species
UCCGGUGACAAUGGCAAAGAGGUCACACCCGUUCCCAUGCCGAACACGGCCGUUAAGCUCUUUUGCGCCGAUGGUAGUUGGAGGCUUCCUCCCGCGAGAGU